GUUAGAGAUAAGGCGAUCGCCCAGAGGCUUCAGGGAGAGAGAGCAGGUCUCGUAACAAGUGAGAUAAGCCGAUAAGGGUGGUUCAAAAAGAUGGCCUAGCGUUGUGUGAGGUUACACACACUCACAACAAAAGGUUUGUGCUGUAGGUCUGAUGUGCGUGGCGAGUGUGGGUGUUUUGGUUAAAAAAAAAAAAAAAAAAAAAGGUGACUCUGUAAAAAGUGUGUAGGUGAAGCGGAGAGAGAAAGUAAAAAUGUGGGAAUGUGGAGGAGCUGGGUCAGUUUGUCUCUCCGUUAUUUGUUUUGCAAAGUUUGCUUAGCGCACACACACACUGUCUUUGGGAUGCAUUUAGAAGCUUUCCAGCACAACCACACUUUCUAUUUGUAGCUGAUGCAGGGGGGCAGAGCAUGAGAGUGAUGAAUUUCCCUUUGGGGACAAAAAGGUAUAUCUGAUCUUAUCUUUUGUUUUCUGCUUCUUAAAGGUCACAUAUUCAGCAAAAUGUUUCCACAACUCUAAUAUGUGUCUUUAGUCUGUCUAUAAAACCCCCAAUGAUGAGAAAAGUCCAUCCUCUCCAUCUUGUGCCUGCUCCACUUUUCAGAAAAUGUGUGCUCAAACAGGCUGUUUGGAGAUUUUCCCUUCAUGACAUCACAAAGGGCAGUAACCCCUCCCCCAGGUGGGUGACACUCCCACAGCUAGGUGUUUGUUCUGCCCUCUGAGUCUGCCUUCUCACCGUACACAAUAGGACAUGGAGCGAGAAAGCCAGAGACCACCCAAGCCCUUCCAGAGAGGGGGCGUGGUCAGACACAGCUCAUUUACAUUUAAAGGUACAGACACAGAAACAGCCUGUUCUGAGCAGGGCUGAAAUAGAGGGUGGAUUUAGAAAAAUAAACUACACACAUGUUUUGAGGAGCUCUGAGACUUAUUUAAACUGGUUGAAGAGGAGGAGAAUAUGUCACCUUUAAGAAUGAACAUCUUCAAGUUACCUUUGACCUUUUUCUCCAGGGAGUCCGGGCAGACAGGAGUUAACUCUUAACUCCAAACUGUAAAGACACAAACCUUGAAACACAGAGAAUGAUCAAAGCCUUUUCUCUGUGAGGUCACAUCGGUCCAUCCGAUCGGUCUCCACAAAAAGCACGAGGAGCGAGAAGUUUCUCUUUUAUUGGCAACGAUCUUUAUUAGCUCUUCCAGUUCUGGAUGUGAAAAGAGGCAUUCAUUUUCUUUAAUUAAAUAUCUUUUUUUUAAUAAAGUAAAGCAAAAAAGUAUUUACACAUUUUCAAUUAAA